UUUUUUUUUUUUUUUUAAUAAACUUUUCUUGUAUCUGAGGCUGGAAUCUGCUUCCUCUAACAGAGCCAUGCGGAAUAAAUCUAAUCUCUCUUCCAUGUGAUAUUAUACUUGAAGUAUUUGGAAAUGCCGCCCAGUCCCCUCAGAGGCUUCUCCCAGCUGAAACAUCUCCAGGUCCUUGAACUGUUUCUGCCCCAUGGGUGGGAGUCUCCUGUACCCUCCCAAGUUACCUAGCGAUGCUCUGAUUGGUCUAAGUCCCUUUGAAGCUCAAGAUAGUGCUUCAAUUCAAGCUGAAAUUCUGCUUCUCUAGGAGGCAGCGCUGGAGGAGUAUGGCUUAAAACCAUAAUCAGUCCGACCAGGCCCGAGUUAUUCUGACAAAAAUAAUUUUGGGGUCUCCAUUUUCGUCUUUUUCUCCUCUGUGUCAGUAAUGCCAGACUUAGUUAGGAAGCCCAGGAAAGGAGACGGCCUUCUCGUGUGCUAGCACUGUGCCUUUCACGUUCUUGCACCUUACCCUCACAAAAACUCUCUAAUUACUAUUAUUGUUACUCCUCUUUUACAGAAUCAGGGGUCAAAUAAUCACCCAAGAGCACACAGCUAAUAAGUCGCGGAGAGAGGUCUCUAGCCUGUGACUUGUAUACAAAGCUGCUGCCCCAGAGUCUCGUAGUUAAAACUGAGAUCCUGAAUCUGUUUUUCAGCACACUCUUAUGAUACACAGCUUUAAUUCAAGGCCACUUGGUAUACACCAUGUUUAUGCAGCUACAGAAACUUCUGAAAUACAAGUUAAGAACUUUAGGUGGGAAAAAAGUUCUUUGUGGAAGCAAAUGAAACAGAAAUUCCUAGUUUAAGCCAAAAGUCAUCCCAAACAUGCUUUUAUUCCAAUGGUAUUACUUAGCAGCAAAGUGUUCUAUUCCCCUUGAGUUUCCUGCCUUAGGCUAAGGGUAGGCCAGGCCCCGAAGCUAAAUAAUUGUUUCUUAUAUUUUGGUACUAGCACUACCAAUGCCAUUGCCCCUUACUCACACUUGCUUUCCAGUGUGUAGGUUAGUCAUGAAAGAGGGAAGAAUAGGUUUCCCCUGCACACACUGUAACUUUUUUUCCAGCAUUGCUCAGCCUGCCAGAACAAAAGUAAAACCACAGAGAGAAGAUUUAGAUCAGCCUCUUGAUCACCCUGCUGCUAUUUUAUAGUUUUAGGAGGGGUUGGACAUCAAACACUUGAAACUGUCAUCUGCACAUUCCUUCUCAGAAUAAAGCAGCACUGGCAUGUACCCUCCUGAAUUAUUUUUCUACCCUUCCCCCCAACUUUUGGAAACUCUUUCUCUCCAGGAAAAUAGUCUACAGAAGGCACGCCGAAUUAUGAGUGUUUGUUCUAAGGAAGGCUCUUCCAGCCUACUGUGAACUGUCAUAUGCUGACAUCCGGCCAGGUGGACUCUCAGCUUCAGUGGGGAUGCUGCUCAGACGUUUAGGGUUUUCUAAUUUGUUUCUCAUUGUAGCGUUUGAGACACCUUUUCCUUACUGCCUGAUCUGAAGGAUCCUCCACAAUCACUAUUGCAUUAAUCUAUUAUUUUCUUCAUGGUACUUACGGCAACCCAACGCUUCAUUGCUUGUAUGCUUGCUAUCACCACUUGUGCAUAAGUAACUUGGUCUGUCUUGUUCAUUACCUAGCAUGGAGUAGGUCCUCAGAAAUAUUUUUUGGAUGAAUAUAUAUUUUGUGCAAAUAUAUGUAUAUAUGUAUUUGUCGUGUACAAUUCUUUCCUUCAAACAAAUUCUUGGAGUGGUUGAAUUCCUACAGACAGAGGUAGAAUAUGGUUGCCAAGGGCAGGGGUGGAGGAAAUGGGGAAUUAGUGUUUAAUGGAUACAGAGUUUCAAUUUGGGGAAGAUGAAAGAAAUUUUGCAGAUGGAUGGUGGUGCUGGUUGCACAACAAUGUGAAUAUACUUAACGCCACUGACCUGGACACUUAGCAGUGGUUAACAUCAUAAAUUUUAGAGUGCAUAUAUUUUAACGCAAUAAAAAUAAAUUCCUUGAGUUGGAAAUUUGGGGCUAAGAGUUAGUUUAUGUCUUUUAAACUGGGGUAUAUAUUACUAAACUUCUCUCCAGAAGUUAUGCCAAUUUACUUUCCAAAUACCAGUGCCUGAAAAUAGUCAUUGCUCAGCAUAUCACCAACACUGUGUUCUCAGUUUUUUUAUUCUUUAUGUAUGAUGAGUAAACACACACACACACACACACACACUUUAAUUAUUGUUUUACUUGUGUGACUAUACUUAUUAUUAAGGAUUUAGUAUAUUUUCAUGUUUGGUAUUUCUUCUUUUGUGAAAAGCCUAUAUGUAUCCUUUCCCAUUUUUAUGGGGGUGUCUCCUUUGAUUGGUUUAUAGGAGUUCCUGUAUAGUAAAGAUAAUAACUCUUAUAACUGUUAUACAGCUUGCAAUUAAUUUUCCCAAUUUGCUAUUUAUCUUUACAUAUUACUUGCUAUAUGAAAUUUAAAAUUAUAUGCUGAAUCAAUAUGAUCUUGGGGUGAAAAAACCCUUCCCCAUUCCAAAAUUAUAAGAAUAUUCAUCCAUGUUUUUACCCUAUGCAGUUGUGGCUUUGUUCUUUAUACUUAAAUAUUUGAUGCAUCUAAAUGCUUAUGGCAAGAAAUGAGAUAAAGAUCCAACUGGAUUUUUUAAAUUAAUCAGUUAAUCAUCAUUUAUUACAUAAUCCAUGCUUUCAUCAGUAAUUUGAAAUGACUACUUUUGGUUAUAAUAAACAGCCAUUUUC
rnacentral:lncRNA from 1 species